UACGUAGGGUGCGAGCGUUGUCCGGAAUUACUGGGCGUAAAGAGCUCGUAGGCGGUGUGUCGCGUCGGCCGUGAAAACCUGGGGCUUAACUCUGGGCGUGCGGUCGAUACGGGCAUCACUGGAGUUCGGCAGGGGAGACUGGAAUUCCUGGUGUAGCGGUGAAAUGCGCAGAUAUCAGGAGGAACACCGGUGGCGAAGGCGGGUCUCUGGGCCGAUACUGACGCUGAGGAGCGAAAGCAUGGGUAGCGAACAGG
rnacentral:rRNA from 1 species